AUUGAACGCUGGCGGCAGGCUUAACACAUGCAAGUCGAGCGGGGUGAUGGUGCUUGCACUAUCACUUAGCGGCGGACGGGUGAGUAAUGCUUAGGAAUCUGCCUAUUAGUGGGGGACAACAUCUCGAAAGGGAUGCUAAUACCGCAUACGUCCUACGGGAGAAAGCAGGGGAUCACUUGUGACCUUGCGCUAAUAGAUGAGCCUAAGUCGGGUGAGCUAGUGGGUGGGGUCAAGGCCUACCAAGGCGACGAUCUGUAGCGGGUCUGAGGGGAUGAUCCGCCACACUGGGACUGAGACACGGCCCAGACUCCUACGGGAGGCAGCAGUGGGGAAUAUUGGACAAUGGGGGGAACCCUGAUCCAGCCAUGCCGCGUGUGUGAAGAAGGCCUUAUGGUUGUAAAGCACUUUAAGCGAGGAGGAGGCUCUUUUGGUUAAUACCCAAGAUGAGUGGACGUUACUCGCAGAAUAAGCACCGGCUAACUCUGUGCCAGCCGCCGCCGUAA
rnacentral:rRNA from 1 species